rfam:Aedes albopictus isolate Foshan contig100700, whole genome shotgun sequence.
GGCGCGGCAGCUUAGUUGGUAAAGCACUUGUCUAGCGAAUAAGUGUCGUGAGUUCAAAUCUCACCUGAGCUG